rnacentral:lncRNA from 1 species
GGAGUAUAUAUUUUCUUUUUGUUAUAAUCUUUUCACCUAUAUUUUAGCAAAAAUAGUAAAAAAAUUAAUUUUAAAAAUAGUCAAUUUAAUUUAAAAAAAUCAAAAUUAAACAAUUAAUUUGAGACGAAGAGAGUAUAUAUAAGGGGAUUGGUACGAGUAUGGUGAUAUUAAUGAUUUAAGCAGCAGCAGCAGAAAAGGUUGUGUUUCCUUG